GUCAUUUCUGUUCUCCAGCCGCUAUCGCCAGC
rnacentral:scRNA from 1 species